rnacentral:rRNA from 1 species
AGAUUGAACGCUGGCGGCAUGCCUUACACAUGCAAGUCGAACGGUAGAGUAGCAAUACUCGAGAGUGGCGAACGGGUGAGUAAUAUAUCGGAACGUGCCCAGUCGUGGGGGAUAACGUAGAGAAAUUUACGCUAAUACCGCAUACGAUCUACGGAUGAAAGCGGGGGAUUCGCAAGAACCUCGCGCGAUUGGAGCGGCUGAUAUCAGAUUAGGUUGUUGGUGAGGUAAAAGCUCACCAAGCCGACGAUCUGUAGCUGGUUUGAGAGAACGACCAGCCACACUGGGACUGAGACACGGCCCAGACUCCUACGGGAGGCAGCAGUGGGAAUUUUGGACAAUGGGCGAAAGCCUGAUCCAGCAAUGCCGCGUGCAGGAAGAAGGCCUUCGGGUUGUAAACUGUCUUUUGGUACGGAACGAAACGGUCCUUUACUAAAGUAAAGAGGUACUAAUGAACGGUACCGUAAGAAUAAGCACCGACUAACGUACGUCGCCAGCAAGCCGACGGUAACUCGUGA